AGGAUAAACGCUGGCGGCGUGCCUAACACAUGCAAGUCGAACGCGCUUUUUUCGCAAGAGGAGAGCGAGUGGCGGACGGGUGAGUAACACAUGGGUACCUACCUUGGAGUGAGGGAUACCGGCGAGAAAUCGCCGACAAUACCGCAUAGGCUUCUUCACAAGGGAAGCAAAGUGACGCGAGUCACGCUGUGAGAUGGGCCUGUGGCCGAUUAGCUAGUUGGGGGGGUAACGGCUUCCCAAGGCGACGAUCGGUAGCUGGUCUGAGAGGACGAUCAGCCACACUGGGAUUGAGAACGGCCCAGACUCCUACGGGGGGCAGCAGUGAGGAAUUUUCCGCAAUGGAGGCAACUCUGACGGAGCAACGCCGCGUGCAGGAGGAAGGUUUUCGGAUCGUAAACUGCUUUUCUCGGGGACGAGCAAGGACGGUACCCGAGGAAGAAGCCCCGGCUAACUACGUGCCAGCAGCCGC
rnacentral:rRNA from 1 species